GAGGGCAUAGCUCAGUGGUGGAGCACAUGCUUAGCAUGCACGAGUUCCUGGGGUCAAUCCCCAGUGCCUCCA
rnacentral:tRNA from 1 species